rnacentral:rRNA from 1 species
AACGAACGCUGGCGGCAGGCCUAACACAUGCAAGUCGAACGAACCUUUCGGGGUUAGUGGCGGACGGGUGAGUAACACGUGGGAACGUGCCUUUAGGUUCGGAAUAACUCAGGGAAAGUUGUGCUAAUACCGAAUGUGCCCUUCGGGGGAAAGAUUUAUCGCCUUUAGAGGGGCCCGCGUCUGAUUAGCUAGUUGGUUGAGGUAAUGGCUCACCAAGGCGACGAUCAGUAGCUGGUCUGAGAGGAUGAUCAGCCACAUUGGGACUGAGACACGGCCCAAACUCCUACGGGAAGCAGCAGUGGGGAAUCUUGCGCAAUGGGCGAAAGCCUGACGCAGCCAUGCCGCGUGAAUGAUGAAGGUCUUAGGAUUGUAAAAUUCUUUCACCGGGGACGAUAAUGACGGUACCCGGAGAAGAAGCCCCGGCUAACUUCGUG